GCCAGAAUCAUAUCACCCUGCAGCUCUCGCCUUGUUUCCCACUGAUUCUAAGCAGGGUUGAGCUUGGCCAAUACCUGGAUGGGAGACCUCCUGAGGAAAACCACGGUUGUUGCUGGAA
rnacentral:rRNA from 1 species